AUACCUUUCUCGGCCUUUGGCUAAGAUCAAGUGUAGUAUCUGUUCUUAUCAGUUUAAUAUCUGAUACGUGGGCUAUUAGCCCACAUGAUAUUAAAUUAAUCUUUUUAGGGGGAGGGCCCAUUACAGUAGCUUGCUACUGGGACUCUCAGGCGUCGCCCUUGCGUUGCACUAUUGCAAGAGCCCGGUGCGCCCCAC
rnacentral:snRNA from 1 species